GGCACAGUGGCGUAGUGGUUAGCAAUGUUGCCUCACAGCAAGAAGGUCGUGGGUUUGAAUCCCAGCCUGGGGCC